ACAGCAGAAGAGAGCAUGAAAAAUAAGCAGUGCACAAUCAACCACCAGAAGAAGUACACUACCUGCAAAACAGGGGUGAUAUAUGAUAUACCUUUAUCA
rnacentral:lncRNA from 1 species